rnacentral:rRNA from 1 species
AUGGAGGGGAACAGCAACGGCAGCAAGAUCAAGGAAGGGGGAGAUGAUGGUCUGCAACAGGGUGUGGCCAUCAUGGUCAAGAAGCAGCAGGUCACCAUGGGGAUGGAGGUCCUGGACUGCCCACUCUGCUCCACCCCCCUCAGCCCUCCCAUCUUCCAGUGCUCAAUGGGGCAUUUCAUCUGCUCGUCCUGCCGCGACAAGCUCCCGCGUGUGCUCCAAACCCGUCUCGGACCGGUGCCAUGGCAUGGAGCGCGUCAUCGCCUCCGUUGUCGUUCCGUGUUCCUACGCCGCGCGCAGAUGUGCCCACGUGAUGGCCUACCACGACAAGGCGGAGCACGAGGAGUGGUGCCCGCACGCGCCAUGCUUCUGCCCAGAGAAAGGCUGUGGCUUCGCCGGCACCAAGGCAGCACUCAUGGACCACUUCGCCGCCUAGCACAAGUGGCCUGUGAAAGCGUUCAAAUACUACGAGCCGUUCGAAGUGCCCGUGAAGGCCGGCAUGCACAUCCUCUGGUGCGGUGGGGAGGACAAAGAUAUCGGCCUCUUCCUGCUGAAUGUGACGUUCCCGGAGUCUCCCCUCCAUGGGGUCUCGCUGGUCCGCGUCCAUCCGCACCCGCCGGAGUCCAGGUUCGGAUGCUCAGUUGGCUUCUCGUGGUUCAAGGGCCAUUACCAGGUCUCAACGGCUGA